rnacentral:tRNA from 1 species
GCGCAGGUGGUGUAGCGAUAGCGUAGCAGCCUUCCAAGCUGUUGAUCCGGGUUCGACUCCCGGCUUGCGCA